GACGAACGCUGGCGGCGUGCCUAAUACAUGCAAGUAGAACGCUGAAGGAGGAGCUUGCUUCUCUGGAUGAGUUGCGAACGGGUGAGUAACGCGUAGGUAACCUGCCUGGUAGCGGGGGAUAACUAUUGGAAACGAUAGCUAAUACCGCAUAACAGUAGAUGUUGCAUGACAUUUGCUUAAAAGGUGCAAUUGCAUCACUACCAGAUGGACCUGCGUUGUAUUAGCUAGUUGGUGGGGUAACGGCUCACCAAGGCGACGAUACAUAGCCGACCUGAGAGGGUGAUCGGCCACACUGGGACUGAGACACGGCCCAGACUCCUACGGGAGGCAGCAGUAGGGAAUCUUCGGCAAUGGACGGAAGUCUGACCGAGCAACGCCGCGUGAGUGAAGAAGGUUUUCGGAUUGUAAAGCUCUGUUGUAAGAGAAGAACGAGUGUGAGAGUGGAAAGUUCACACUGUGACGGUAUCUUACCAGAAAGGGACGGCUAACUACGUGCCAGCAGCCGCGGUAAUACGUAGGUCCCGAGCGUUGUCCGGAUUUAUUGGGCGUAAAGCGAGCGCAGGCGGUUAGAUAAGUCUGAAGUUAAAGGCUGUGGCUUAACCAUAGUACGCUUUGGAAACUGUUUAACUUGAGUGCAAGAGGGGAGAGUGGAAUUCCAUGUGUAGCGGUGAAAUGCGUAGAUAUAUGGAGGAACACCGGUGGCGAAAGCGGCUCUCUGGCUUGUAACUGACGCUGAUGCUCGAAAGCGUGGGGAGCAAACAGG
rnacentral:rRNA from 1 species